rnacentral:rRNA from 1 species
AGAAUCAACGCUGGCGGCGUGCCUAACACAUGCAAGUCGAACGAGAAAGGGUAGCAAUACCUGAGUAAAGUGGCGCACGGGUGAGUAACACGUGACUAACCUACCCUGGAGUGGGGGAUAACUGAGGGAAACCUUAGCUAAUACCGCAUAAUACCUACGGGUCAAAGGAGCAAUUCGCUUUGGGAGGGGGUCGCGGCCGAUUAGUUAGUUGGCGGGGUAAUGGCCCACCAAGACAGUGAUCGGUAU